UGCCCCUCGCCUGGCAUCCAAACUACAUACAGAGAUUGAGAUGAACCUGCUAAAGCCUGGGUGAAUUUUCUGCACAAUGUUUUAUUAGGGUCCUGACGAUGCCGCAGUAAGCCCUUUUCAGGAACUGAUUUAACGACUACCCAACAGAAUUUCAGUAAAAUUGGACGUUCAUGUAAUUUCUAGCAGUUUUUAUUUGGAAGAAGAUCAAGCCAACAGACAUCAGCAAUAUCUGCUUAAAUAAAGGUAUAAAUAUUUUCACAUUAUAUUCUUUGCCUUGAAUUGAAAAAUAAAAAAAUAAAAAAAGGACCUUUGCUCUCUUCUUCCCCUUGUCUGGUAUUGGAUGCACUUACCUGAAAUAAAAUCUUGGUUUUAAAAUCCUAAAGCCUGGUUCUGCCCAUGGAGAAUUGUGGCCUAAAAUGCCACAUCAAUUUAUUUUGAAAAACAGAAUGCAAGUCACCUGAAUCACUCACUAAAAGAGGUUUUUUCCUUUAGUAAGAAAUGAUCUAAAUAAAGUCUUAAGGUAUUUCUAUAACAGUUCACUUAGAAUUGAGGAAUGCUCAUUUCCUUUCCUUGGCAUAGGUGCCACGGCAAAACCAGAAUAUUCAUUCCCAAAUCUGAGAGACUUUGAACAGAAUUUGUUUAUUCUAAUGGAACAGACAGCUCAAAUUUCUCACAUUCACUAUCUGAACAUUUAUCAACAUUAAUCACUUAAAGGUGUCCAUUUUUUCUUUCCUUUUUUGGUUAUGUGCUUUUUGCUUCAUUAUGUUGCAGAGAGACCUACAGGCUUUUUUUUUUUUUCCAGCUUGCCUUUUAUGUUACUAAUUUAAUUUGUCUUGCA